rnacentral:rRNA from 1 species
UACGAAGGGGGCUAGCGUUGUUCGGAUUUACUGGGCGUAAAGCGCACGUAGGCGGAUACUUAAGUCAGGGGUGAAAUCCCGGGGCUCAACCCCGGAACUGCCUUUGAUACUGGGUAUCUCGAGUUCGAGAGAGGUGAGUGGAAUUCCGAGUGUAGAGGUGAAAUUCGUAGAUAUUCGGAGGAACACCAGUGGCGAAGGCGGCUCACUGGCUCGAUACUGACGCUGAGGUGCGAAAGCGUGGGGAGCAAACAGG